ensembl:lncRNA
GCUGGAACGAGAUUUACACACACCGUGUUUCUCUGUCGCUUACAUGAGCACAGCUGCAUCACCAUGGAGAUGCAGUCAACCAAUGACAGGCGGCAAUUUACUCUCCAGAGACCCUGCUGAUUUGAGCUGGGGGGAUCAUGGGGGCGUAAACAGGAAGAAAAAACAAGAGAACCAAGUGACCGGUUGCUAUGGGAUCAGAGGCUUGGCGACCGUUACUAAGACCCAAAGGCAGUCAUACAUGAACCCAGUCAACCCAGAGACAAGAGACACAGAGAGAAAGAGAGAAAGGGUGAUAAAAGGAGAGAAGACCACAAAUGUUUAAACAAAUAACCUCAAAUAUAUAUUCAGGUUCAGUGUUAUAAAAUUCUCUACAAAAUGUGGCUAAUAAACUGUAUGUUUAUUUUUUGAAAUCAAAACCAUCCAAGAUGGGUAUGGAUAAACUAAUAAUGUAGCAAACUAAUAACGUUUGGAUAAACUAAUUGCAUAGGCCAUGAGUGUCCAUCAGGAGAAUUCAUUACGAUUAAACUGUGAUCAAACACAAAUAACACAUCAACACUGUAUGAAGAAAAAUAUUUUUGAUUCUACAAGCACGAAAGAUAGUCAACCAGCAAAAUUAAGCUUGUCAGAGUUAUGAGCUUGUUGGUUAUUCAGAGAGCUGUUUUGUUUUUUCUUCCUCACACAAAAUUCUAGAUUGCACUACGCACCUGCACACAUACCUGUAGAUUGAACAUGUAAUACACAUGAUGCCAUCUUAUUCAUAAAUUCACAUUUUUGUUGCUUACACAGACAACAAUUGCAUUUUUUUCAAAAAUUUACACUUUGAAACCCGUUUUCAAAAGUUUGCAUUUUCAGGCCCCCAAAACGCUGUUGUCGUAUUAAAAGGAACAGGCAAAACGCAUUAAAAGUUUCCAUUUUUAGUUAAAAACUGUCAUGUAAACGGUCCACCAAAAUAUUUGCAGACAGGGUUCAUUUACGCUAAUUGAUUAAUGCUGUAGAGAUUGCAUUUAUUAUUAAACUCGUGUUUAAUGCUUGAAAUUAUGAAUACAUAUAAUAUAUAUUUAUAUUUUAUAUAAUAUUAGAAUCCAGUCCUUCGCAAUAGCUUCCAAAUGGGAAGCUUGAUUAUAGUUGAACUCAUUUAAAUUAUUAGUAGCUUGUACAGUACGUGUCAGGUUUAGUGGUUAGCUGUGCAAGAACAUUAGCAUUUCUCUUUCAAAUCAAAUUCUUCCCGCAAUUGUGAAUCCUAUGCAAAUACGAUUCUUCUUCCCCUAUGCCACAUUAAAAACUGUCUAAAUGCACCGCUUUUAGUUUAUAUCCUACAUCAAAUGUGUCUUCUGUGCCUUUAUUGCAGUGUAAAGAUAGCUUACAUAACAGUUUGGAUUUGUUGCAGGUAAAAUUAGACCAGUUUUUUUUUUUAUUUGUCAAGAUAUUUGCUUUGAAGUUUUGAUUUGUUUGAAUCGUCAUGAGCAUAAAAAUAUAUUCAAAUGUGUUGGGGAGAAACACAACAAGCCGCAAGCUGUGAGUUUAUGAAAACACAAAAAUCAAGACGUGUUAGCUGAUUUUCAAUCUGUUUCUUUCAUUUUAUUAAUGUUGCUCCAUGUAUACAAGUACAUAUAUCUCAGUUCUUCCAUUUUAUUUUUUAUUUUUUCAUUUACCAGGGAAUUUUGGAAAGAAAAGGAAUGAGAGAGAAAGAAACAGAGAGAAAGAGAGAGAGAGAGCAUGUCUGUUAAUUCAAAUGAAAAAUCACUUGUAGCAACAUUAUCUCCACAGUAACCAAAAAUACACAACAAUAGGGCCAACCACUGACAUGCAAAACACACACAGCCUCACACAUACAGAUACACACAACGCUCACAUUGUUCUGUCAGCAUAUUGAGAGAUCGGUGUGUAAAGUGUGUCCUGUUUGGUGAGUUUGGAGGUCUGGGCUCUCUUUCUCUGUCUCUCUGACAUCAUGACAUCUGCUGCUUUCAAAGUACAGAAAGACCAGAACUCCAUUAACACACACACACACACACACACACAUGCAGAAAAUGCAUGCUCAUACCAUGCAUAACUCCAUACACACACUCACUUCAUACUCCCGGAUCCCUCCACACAUGUACACGCUUUAAAUUAACCUUUAAACAUACAAUUAAAGGGAUAGUUCACCUUAAAUUAAAAUUCAUUUACUUAUCUUCAUGUCAAACCUGUAUGACUUACUUUCUUACAUGUAACACAAAAGGAAACGUUUUGAAGAAUGUUCACGCUGCUCUUUUCUUAGUAAAGUGGAUGGGAACCAAAGGCUGUCUAGCUCCAAAGAGGACAAAAUAGCACCAUAAAAGCUUCACAAAAGUAGUCCAUACGGCUUGUGCACUAUAUUCCAAGUCUUCUUUAAAAUUUAAUUAGAUUUUUACUCAAAACCUUGCUUGACAGAUCUAGUCCCCAUUAACUUUCAUGCAUGGAAAUAAGCAGCUCAUUUAGCAAAAUUUCUUUCUCUUUGCAUUCUCUGGAAGACAAAAAGUCAUACAGGUUAAGGUCAUUUUUAGGUGAACUGUUCCUUUAAAAAAACACUUAUAAUGUUAACAUUCAAUACUGUGCAUGUGUGUAUUUGUGUGUUUGAUGCAUUAUGCAUUACACUGAUUUAGUUUCCACUGAUAUGUGAGAAAAAGAGAGAGAGACAAAGAAAAUAGGAAAGUCGGGGGAUAAGCAAAGACACAAUGCCAAUCACUAACUAGAAAGCAGGAAACAGGAAAUAUGAAACAUGUAUCAGGGAGGCUGGACUACUAAUAUUACUACUAAUGUCACUCACGCAUACACACACACACACACACACACACACACACACACACACACACACACACACAUAUAUAUUAACCCCACCCACUGCCAUCACACUCAAAUGGAGGGAAGUGAGAUUUGGAGGGUGGCAAUGAAUAGAUUCUAUGUUUUUAUUCCACCCCUCAUUAAAUGGAGGUAGAAAGAAAGGUGAGAAGAGAUAAAGAGAGAGAGAGAGUUGGGGGCUGGUGGUUUGUAUCAAAGUUCAAUUGAAUAUUAAAGAUAUCAUCAUAACUUCCAGUCUUAUUCACCAUGAUCAUGUCCAUCGCCAACACAAUGAUCAAAGUCCAGCCUGUUAAAAUCAUUAAUGUUAAUAUUAUCAUUAUUCAUAAUUAUAAUUACUGAUAUAAUUUAAAAUGGGCGGGCUAGUUUUAUUCUUUAGAUUUGAUCUUGUUUUUCAUUUGUCAUUAAUCUU